rnacentral:rRNA from 1 species
AUGGCUCAGGAUGAACGCUAGCGACAGGCUAACACAUGCAAGUCGAGGGGCAUCACGGGAGUAGCAAUACAACUGGUGGCGACCGGCGCACGGGUGAGUAACGCGUAUGCAACCUACCUAUCAGAGGGGAAUAACCCGGCGAAAGUCGGACUAAUACCGCAUAAAACAGGGGCACCGCAUGGUGAUAUUUGUUAAAGAAAUUCGCUGAUAGAUGGGCAUGCGUUCCAUUAGGUAGUGGUGAGGUAACGGCUCACCAAGCCGACGAUGGAUAGGGGAACUGAGAGGUUGGUCCCCCACACUGGUACUGAGACACGGACCAGACUCCUACGGGAGGCAGCAGUGAGGAAUAUUGGUCAAUGGGCGGGAGCCUGAACCAGCCAAGUCGCGUGAAAGGAAGAAGGAUCUAUGGUUCGUAAACUUCUUUUGCAGGGGAAUAAAGUGCAGGACGUGUCCUGUUUUGUUAUGUACCCUGAGAAUAAGGAUCGGCUAACUCCGUGCCAGCCGCUGC